rnacentral:rRNA from 1 species
CCCUUAGAUGUUCUGGGCCGCACGCGUAUUACAAUGGCGUCGUCAAUUGGCAACAAAACUCCUGUAAAAGGGAGUGGUAUCCCAUUAAUUGACGUCAAACUUGGGAUUGGCUAUUGGAAUUAUUACUCUUCAACGAGGAAUUCCUAGUAAUGAUGGUUCAUCAGACCGUCGUGAUUACGUCCCUGCCCUUUGUACACACCGCCCGUCGCUCCUACCGAUUGAACGAUCCGGUGAGUUGUUUGGAGUAGUGAUGAUCGGGGCAACCUGAUUCUUCGCCGCAAAAUUCCGCUAACCUUAUCGUUUAGAGGAAGGAGAAGUCGCAACA